CUCAUGGGCCUCAAAUAAUGUGUGACUACCCCCUAAAUUUAAGCAU
rnacentral:rRNA from 1 species